rnacentral:tRNA from 1 species
UAGAAAAAUAGGACUCGAACCUAUCCCUUAGAGAUCAAAACUCUUCGUACUUCCACUUAUACUAUCUCCUAA